rnacentral:pre_miRNA from 12 species
UCAGUUGCUACAGUAAAGCGUCCCGUGUUCAUUGUACUUCAUCAGGUGCUCUGGUAGGUUCAGUAUCCCGGCAUCUGUUGGAGUGCAACUGAUAGGAUGGCGCACCUACAUCGAGACACAC